CCUACGGGGGGCAGCAGUGAGGAAUAUUGGUCAAUGGACGCAAGUCUGAACCAGCCAUGCCGCGUGCAGGAUGAAGGCCCUAUGGGUUGUAAACUGCUUUUCUACGAGAAUAAACCCCCGCUCGUGAGCGGGGCUGAAGGUAUCGUAGGAAUAAGCACCGGCUAACUCCGUGCCAGCAGCCGCGGUAAUACGGAGGGUGCAAGCGUUAUCCGGAUUUAUUGGGUUUAAGGGGUCCGUACAAGGAAGUGGAGAAAGCCCACAGCUUAACUGUGGAACUGCCUUUGAUACUGCUGUUCUUGAGUAUAGUUGAAGUGGGCGGAAUGUGCGGUGUAGCGGUGAAAUGCAUAGAUAUCGCACAGAACACCUAUUGCGAAGGCAGCUCACUAAACUAUUACUGACGCUCAGGGACGAAAGCGUGGGGAGCAAACAGGAUUAGAUACCCUUGUAGUC
rnacentral:rRNA from 1 species